rnacentral:rRNA from 1 species
UUGCCAGCAGCCGCGGUAAUACGUAGGGUGCGAGCGUUAAUCGGAAUUACUGGGCGUAAAGCGUGCGCAGGCGGUUUUGUAAGACAGAUGUGAAAUCCCCGGGCUUAACCUGGGAACUGCAUUUGAUACUGGGUAACUAGAGUAUGGCAGAGGGGGGUGGAAUUCCACGUGUAGCAGUGAAAUGCGUAGAGAUGUGGAGGAACACCGAUGGCGAAGGCAGCCCCCUGGGCCAAUACUGACGCUCAUGCACGAAAGCGUGGGUAGCAAACAGGAUUAGAUACCCUGGUAGUCCACGCCCUAAACGAUGUCAACUAGGUGUUGGGUGGGUAAAACCAUUUAGUACCGUAGCUAACGCGUGAAGUUGACCGCCUGGGGAGUACGGCCGCAAGGUUAAAACUCAAAGGAAUUGACGGGGACCCGCACAAGCGGUGGAUGAUGUGGAUUAAUUCGAUGCAACGCGAAAAACCUUACCUACCCUUGACAUGUCCAGAAGCUCUUAGAGAUUUGAGUGUGCCCGAAAGGGAGCUGGAACACAGGUGCUGCAUGGCUGUCGUCAGCUCGUGUCGUGAGAUGUUGGGUUAAGUCCCGCAACGAGCGCAACCCUUGUCGUUAAUUGCCAUCAUUGAGUUGGGCACUUUAACGAGACUGCCGGUGACAAACCGGAGGAAGGUGGGGAUGACGUCAAGUCCUCAUGGCCCUUAUGGGUAGGGCUUCACACGUCAUACAAUGGUCGGUACAGAGGGUUGCCAAGCCGCGAGGUGGAGCCAAUCCCAGAAAGCCGAUCGUAGUCCGGAUCGCAGUCUGCAACUCGACUGCGUGAAGUCGGAAUCGCUAGUAAUCGCGGAUCAGCAUGUCGCGGUGAAUACGUUCCCGGGUCUUGUACACACCGCCCGUCACACCAUGGGAGCGGGUUCCGCCAGAAGUAGGUAGCCUAACCGCAAGGAGGGCGCUUACCACGGCGGGGUUCGUGACUGGGGUGAAGUCGUAACAAGGUAACCGAAUCUCUGAAGAUCCGCGCGACC